rnacentral:rRNA from 1 species
UACGGAGGGGGCUAGCGUUGUUCGGAAUCAUUGGGCGUAAAGGGCGCGUAGGCGCCUGCCAAGUCGGGUGUGAAAUCCCUCGGCUCAACCGAGGAACUGCACUCGAUACUGGCUGGCUAGAGUCCGGGAGGGGAUGGUGGAAUUCCCAGUGUAGCGGUGAAAUGCGUAGAUAUUGGGAAGAACACCCGUGGCGAAGGCGGUUCUCUGGGACGGUACUGACGCUGAGACGCGAAAGCGUGGGGAGCGAACAGG